CGUGUAGGCGGCCAGAAAAGUCCGCUGUGAAAACUCGAGGCUCAACUUCGAGCUGUCGGUGGAAACUUUCUGGCUAGAGUCCGGAAGAGGAGAAUGGAAUUCCUGGUGUAGCGGUGAAAUGCGCAGAUAUCAGGAAGAACACCCGUGGCGAAGGCGGUUCUCUGGGACGGUACUGACGCUGAGACGCGAAAACGUGGGGAGCGAACA
rnacentral:rRNA from 1 species